rnacentral:rRNA from 1 species
GUCUUUUUGAUUUUGAUUUAAAGUCUGGCCUGCCCCCUGAUUAUUUAAAUGGCCGCAGUAUACUGACUGUGCAAAGGUAGCAUAAUCAUUAGUUUUUUAAUUGAAAGCUGGAAUGAAGGGUUUGAUGAGAAAUAAUCUGUCUCUGAUGAAGUAAUAUAAAAUUUUACUUUUAAGUUAAAAGGCUUAAAUUAAUUUAAAAGACGAGAAGACCCUAUAGAGUUUUAUUUUUUUAGAUUGAGUAUUGACUUGGUAAUAAAAAUUUAUUUUUUUUAAAAAAAUUUAGUUGGGGUGACUGGGAAAUUUGAAGAACUUUUUUUUUAAUAUUCAUAAAUUUAUGAGUUUUUGAUCCUUUAUUUUGAUUAAAAGAUUAAAUUACCUUAGGGAUAACAGCGUAAUUUUACUGGAGAGUUCAAAUUGAUAGUAAAGGUUGCGACCUCGAUGUUGGAUUAAAAUAAAUAGUUGGUGGAGGAGCUAAUUGGUUAGGUCUGUUCGACCUUUAAAAUUU